UGUUCAACGGUAUGUCCAAAAGUGUGAGAUCCACUUUAGUUAUAGGAAUUGCAUAAAUCAUUUAUUAUAUUUGUUUUACAGAAAAUAUACAUGGAUAUGGAAAUGGAGAAAGAAUUACAGAAAGCUGGAAGAUAACACAAACUUCAUGAAGAACAGCUUGUUAAAACAACAACCAAAACCUAUUUACAAGUGGAGACAAGAACGUAAACGAUGACAAUUUCUAUGUUUUAAUACAAGUACAUUAAGCUUUUUUGUGGCUGUUAUAUCAAGAACUUAGCCUAAUUGGAUUCAUGAUGUAUUGAAGCUCUACAAUAUUUCAAGUUGCUUUUGUGGGGGUGAAAUCUUAGAAUGUUACUCAUUCAUCAUUCCAUUCGAGGAAUCACAAGUGGAUGGCUAUUUUAUCAUGAACCAUGUUGUUGAACAUGUUAAAAGUUUCAAUAAAAUGAUCCAAAUGAUCGUUAAUAUAUAAGAAUUGCUUUGUUUUUUCCUUAAAAUAUUUCACAUGACCAUAUGGUGCUUAAUGUAUCAUAGAAAGUACUCAUAAUUCUUUUCCCUAAACAUAAUAGAUCCCUCAGUUAAAUUUAACACCGACCCCACUAUAAAUAAAUAAAGCAUCCAAAAGCUUUACUUUCUCCCUCA